GACGAACGCUGGCGGCGUGCUUAACACAUGCAAGUCGAACGGAGAUUAUUAAUGAAGCUUGCGAUUUAAUAAUCUUAGUGGCGGACGGGUGAGUAACGCGUGGGCAACCUACCCAUAAGAGGGGGAUAACAGCUGGAAACGGCUGCUAAUACCGCAUAAACUUUUUAAGACCCAUGUUUUAGAAAGGAAAGGUGGCGCAAGCUAUCGCUUAUGGAUGGGCCCGCGUCUGAUUAGCUAGUUGGUGAGGUAAUGGCCCACCAAGGCGACGAUUGGUAGCCGAACUGAGAGGUUGAUCGGCCACAUUGGGACUGAGACACGGCCCAGACUCCUACGGGAGCAGCAGUGGGAAUA
rnacentral:rRNA from 1 species